ensembl:lncRNA
CGAGCGUGGUCAUCCGCGGGCUGCGCGUCGGAGUGCGCCAAGUAUGUAACGGUAAAAAUAGCUUUUAUUUCCUCCGUUUCGUUAGACGCGCGUCCCGCUGAAUUCGCCGAGCAGAGAUGGCCGGCUUGAGAAGGCACAGGUCGUGGCACGAGGACUUCGCGCGAAACUUUUUCAAGCUGUUUUCGAGAAGUAAAUCGCUGGAGCAGGAGAAGACGGAUAUAGAGCCUGAGAACGGCGAGGAGCAUGAGGACGACAAUGCUUACGGGGAGCUCGGGAAGGAUGAGAGUCUGGUCACAGCUGAGCCUAAGCUGCCUACGGCCCCAGGAUCCCAGACACUGGAGCACACGGACCAGGACGGGGCGGUCGAGGGGGACGGCGCACCAGACGGUGAGGGUGUCGCGCGAGGCAAUGCGCAGCGUGACCCUGCCCCCAUCACGCCUCCUGUCGCGGAGCCCAGCCCGCCAGCACCCCCUGCGGACGGCUUCCUCCGGCGCCUGGGGAGCCUGUUCCUGUUCGCACGGUCUGAGCCUGGGGGAGGCGAGAGGCAGAGUCACCCCAGUGCGGAGGCUCAGGGAUCAGGGGGCGCGGAGCACGCCGACCCCGAAGCCCGUCUCGGAGGAGUGAGGGACGUGCAGGGAGGAGAGCGCACGCCAUCGCUGAGGCCUCAGGAGCCGUCGCACUCUUCAAAGCGGUGUAACUCUUCGGAGCUGUCUCGCUCUGUUGCUGCUCCAGAGGUUAAAGACACACUGCAACCUGAGGAAGGGAUCCAGGACACACAACUGCAGGUGGAGGCUGAGACUGAAGAGGAUGGAGAAGAGGAAGCGGAGAGCCCGCUAGUGGAGAAGGAGGAGGAGCGGCGCCGGGCUCUCGCCUGCCCUCCGGUGGUGACGCAUGGGACGUACCGUGGCCUUAGGGAAGUCAGGAGGAUGAGGAGGCAGGAGGUCCACCUUCACUCGCCCAUCUCGGAAGGGGAGGAGGGACCACGCGGGUCCGGUGCGGGCUUGCUCUCCAGAGACGAGGAAGAGAUGAGCGCCGUCAUCUCGCCCACCGGCAGCCAUGAAGGGCAGGCCUGCGAUGGAGGCUCCUGGCCUUCAGACGUCACGCUCCUUCAGGUCGGCUCCGGGCACGCAAGCCCCGUGCAAGCAGGCUCUUCCCCAGCAUGCCCCAAUGCUCACAGUCCAGUUGAGGCGGAAGGGACGGGCAACACUGGGGCCGAGUGGCAUGCCUUACGCACACAGAACCAAACCAGAACACAGCCUGUGGGUCUAGAACCAGACCUAGCGUCGACCAAUGACGAUGUCUGCACUGGUGAGAAGGGCCCCGAUUGGCCUGCUGUCUGUUUAGAUACGAGUGUCGAGACGCAAGGUGGCCAGCCGGUGCCGUCUGGGCGCGAGACUCCUCAUCUGGAGGCAGUGUCUCCAUGCGAGAGCCAUGCACCGUCUCAGUCUUCGGAUACUUUGCUGUUUCCUCUGACAGUUGGAGCCCAGAAGACCUACGUGCGCUUGUCAAACACCGACACUGCCGCAAACUUGAACGAGUGCUCGGCAGAUGCCAACACUGCUUCCGACGCGCUUGACGGCUUCGUCAGCAUGGAGGUCAUCUCUGGUUCCCAGCAAGGUGGGCGGGGCCAUGAGGAAAGCCACGCCCCCUGUGCAUCAUCCGGCGCAGAGAUUUCAGGCCGUACGGCCCGGUGGCCCGAGUUGGUCCUGGGUGAUGGAGCGGCACAGCUGGGACCUCCUGAGGAGCAGCCAGGCUUGGAAGAGGAGAUGCUGCACGUGGAGUCCGCGAGGACGGUGGACAACAUCCUCAGAAACGCGC